GCUGGUCUUGGGAAUAACGGAAGCGACGGAAGGAAGCUCGUUACCUGUUGCCUGUCUCAUCCUUUCUCUGUUGUUUUCAGUGCACAGGACGUGACGGUGAACUCUACUGCUGGACAUCUUUGCAGAAGAAGAGAGUGAGAAAUGUGUGGGCCUUUGACUCUUCCUGUACACUCUGCCCCUCCAGUGAAGUGGCAGCUCGCAGACUGCGAUGCUGCAGACUCUAUAACUGCUAUUGUGGCUCCUCAGGGCUCUUAUGUGCUGGAGAAUCAUAUGGGCCUAUAUUGUGUGCAAUUGCAGAGGCACUUUUAGCUGAUAACUCGCAGAUAGAAAGGUGUCUAUCUUUAUAAAUGGGAUACUCCAGCACUAACCAAGUUUGAGCAUGAGAACUGUCAUUACACAGUGUCAAGCAAAGUGUGUUUACAACCUUUAAAAUCAACAGUGACGACGGUACAUUAAGUCAUUUGAACAACUUAUAACCCUAACAUAUAGAAUUAGGACCAGAGAAAUGUGUUUAUGAGUUCAAAUGAAUUAUUGAAUGACACCUAACCCCCAUCUUCAGCUUGGGUAUAUAUGGUGGAAGGGUGGGGCAGAAUUUUGUUGUUUUUAUUUAUUUUGUUUUAUCUUUUUUUUCUUUGCAGAAACCUUAGGUUUUGCACUUAUUAAUGUGUAUAUUUAUAAUUACAUUGUUUUCUUUGUUGGUGAUCUGCUGAAUUUUAACUCCACCCUGUAUAAUUAUACUUAAAUACCAAUAAAAAUGAUAAGGGGGUGAAUUAUUGAUUGAAUAAAUCUAGACUAAAAAAGAAAAUGGCUAUCAAACUUAAAAGUUGGCGACACUGUGAUGUGCUAUCUUUAGUUUGAAUAAACUACAUUUAUUUUUGUGUUACCACUUUUUUAUUUAUUUUUUUUUUUUUAUUUGUUUUACUUUUUUCAGUCUUAAAUGAAACAAACCUCGUAAUAUUUGCCCUAAAAAAUGCCCACAAGGAAACAAAGUGACCCAUGUGAUUAGCCCUGUCACUUGACACAAGGUCCUAUGGCUACAUGCGAUUUCCUGUGUUUACAUGCGCCUUCCUCUGGGCACAGUGUGUGUAUGUGUGCACAGUGCGCAUGCCCCUGAUCUGCUGCGCAGUGUUGAAGUCUUGACCAAGUCAGCGUGUUAGUCAGAUCAACGUUGGUGGCAGAGUGUCAGCCGCAGGAGAAAGUGUUGUAGGAGCCUGGUGCGGAGGUGGGAGGGUACAAAGCGUCAGAGAGGAGAGAUGGUGGAGAUAGAAAAAUGGACAUAAUGUCUAAUGGCAGUUCCAGCUGAGAAAACAAAAAUACCAGAGGAACACUAAAAACCUGAGGGGUGAAAAAUAUGCGGGGCUGGCGAGAGGUCAGAUUCCCCACCGUAUCUAAUUCAAUUUUACAAACUGUAAGAAAACACUCUGCUGCUCCCCAAACACUGGGGAAAUGCGCAGCAAAUUUGUGGGUUUUACACUUUCUAAUCAAACAAAUAUCUUUUGCAAGUUAGUCAAAAUGGUGGGUGUAUAUUGACACGUAGCAAUUCAGGGUGGCUGAUAAGGAUUUUGUUAAAUGUUCAUGUCAUCAUUUUGGAUCCAAGGGAAAUAAAGUGGAUUAAGGAUCCUCCAAAAUCCAGUUUAAUUGUAUUAUUUUUGUUUUAUUUUAUAUUAUUUUUAAGAAAAACACAUUUAGACUGAAUGUGACGGUGGUUUGUGUGAAUAAUAUUAAUAAAAGCUCAAAUGUGGGUUUUUUUCCAGAAUCACUGGAGCACAGAUCAAUUUCAGGAGCAUUUUUUCUUUCUUAAAAAGGACAUACAUGACAAAUAUUUUCUCAGGUAAAUCUUGCUCUAUCCA